rnacentral:SRP_RNA from 2 species
GCUGGGCAUGGUGGUGUGUGCCUGUAAUCCCAGCUACUGGGGAGGCUGAGGCAGGAGGAUGGCUUGAACCCAGGAGGCGGAGGUUGCAGUGAGCCAAGAUUGUGCCACUGCACUCCAGCUUGGGUGACAGAGCAAGAUUCCGCCUCAA